rnacentral:rRNA from 1 species
AUUGAACGCUGGCGGCAGGCCUAACACAUGCAAGUCGAGCGGAUGAAGGGAGCUUGCUCCUGGAUUCAGCGGCGGACGGGUGAGUAAUGCCUAGGAAUAUGCCUGGUAGUGGGGGAUAACGUCCGGAAACGGGCGCUAAUACCGCAUACGUCCAGAGGGAGAAAGUGGGGGAUCUUCGGACCUCACGCUAUCAGAUGAGCCUAGGUCGGAUUAGCUAGUUGGUGGGGUAAAGGCCUACCAAGGCGACGAUCCGUAACUGGUCUGAGAGGAUGAUCAGUCACACUGGAACUGAGACACGGUCCAGACUCCUACGGGAGGCAGCAGUGGGGAAUAUUGGACAAUGGGCGAAAGCCUGAUCCAGCCAUGCCGCGUGUGUGAAGAAGGUCUUCGGAUUGUAAAGCACUUUAAGUUGGGAGGAAGGGCAGUAAGUUAAUACCUUGCUGUUUUGACGUUACCAACAGAAUAAGCACCGGCUAACUUCGUG